rnacentral:lncRNA from 1 species
AGAUGAAUGAUGACGGCAGAGGGCAGAGAGCUUAGAGGACGCGGUACCAAGCCCCGUCCCUCGCCCAUCCCAACGAAGGUCUUAGAAUACAAUCAACCAACUACAGGAAGAAUUUGUAGAGGAGGUUUUCUUGUGUGUCUGCAUCGCCCCACCCACAGCCAUGUGAGGACACAGCAUCUGUGGCAACAAGGAGCCAUCUUGGGAGCAGAGAGCAAGCUCUUCCAGACACUGAAUCUGCCAGCACCUUGAUCUUGGUCCAGCCUUCAGAACUCAUAUAAAAUGUCAAAAUACUGAGCUGUUGAGUACCGUAUCAAACAUCUGGCAAUUCUGGACAA